CUGGUUGAUCCUGCCAGUAGUCAUAUGCUUGUCUCAAAGAUUAAGCCAUGCAUGUCUAAGUCCAAGCUGUGUUCACACGGCGAGACCGCGGACGGCUCAUUAAAUCAGUCGUGGUCCAAAUGGGCCAGUGCAAAUCCUACUUGGAUAACUGUGGUAAUUCCAGAGCUAAUACAUGCAACUGAUAUCCCGAAGGCGGUGUUUGUGCUUGCUUGCCUUGCGCUGGCAUUGCUCUGACGGAUGCUUUUAUUAGACCAAGCCGCUGAGGACUUGAGGGUUCGCGCUCUCUUGUUUGACUCGUGUGAUGGUGACUCUGGAUAACCAAAUUCUGACAAGCGCACGUACUUCUCUUCUGAGCGAGACGGCGCUGCCACUUUCGAGUGUCUGCCUUAUCAGCUAUCAACCGUUCGUUAUGCGCGACCGAUGGCUUUGACGGGUAACGGGGAAUCAGGGUUCGAUUCCGGAGAGGCAGCCUGAGAGACGGCUACCACGUCCAAGGACGGCAGCAGGCACGCAAAUUACCCAAUCCCAGCAAAUGGGGGAGGUAGUGACGAAAUCUAACGAUGCGGGCGCCCUUUCUGGGGCCCCGCAAUCGGAAUGGGCACUUUCUAAACAACCUGUUGAGAACCUACUGAAGGGCAAGUCUGGUGCCAGCAGCCGCGGUAAUUCCAGCUUCAGCAGCAUCUAUUAAAGUUGCUGCAGUUAAAAAGCUCGUAGUUGAAUGUCUGUAUCGAGCGCAGGUCAGGUGGACGUU
rnacentral:rRNA from 1 species